GCCCCCGUGGUGGAAUUGGCAUACACAGUAGGUUGAGGGCCUAUGCCCGUUCGGGCGUGCCCGUUCGAGUCGGGCCGGGGGCA
rnacentral:tRNA from 1 species